rnacentral:pre_miRNA from 1 species
CCCAGAUUAACCUUUGCUGGUACCAUCUCAGCCAGGACUGGUCUUAGAAGAGUGAUGGUUAGGGUUCCUGUUUAAGCAUCCUGCUCUAGGCCCCU